UGUUAUCAUUGUAUUUACCGA
rnacentral:piRNA from 1 species